GUCUCCGGGGCAAUCCACUAUGGCUGGGGGAUGCAGAUCUCUAUCCUCACACCGUAUGCUCAGCUUCUUGGAGUUCCACACAUGUUUGCUUCCCUUAUUUGCAGCUCUGGACCUUUGGCUGGAGUUUUGGUAAAUCCCACGCUCAAUUACCACAGUGACCGAUGCACAAUGAGGAUGGGACGCAGGAGGCC